GUUAAUGCAAAUUCUUUGAAAAUACCAUGGAAGGGAAAGAAGAGUCAGUGGGUCCAAGCAGCCUCCAGCUGCCCCUUGUGCAGCCCGUGGCUCGUCAGGCGGGGCCCAGCUCGCUGUCAUUGUGAUGUGCAUCCGCUCAAGUGACAUCACACUGCCCACCUGUCCAAGGACGCACACUCGGGGAGAGCUGGGCCGGGGACAACACGGCGUGCGAGGAGGAGGGGACAGGACCGAGGAGCGGGUCCCAGGUUGGGCUUUCCGGCCCUGACCCCAGACCAGCACCUCCCCACCGGCUUCCCGGAAGGAGCUCCGUAAACUCCCGACCCAGGGUGCCGCCCAGGUCUCACCAAACCAGACCCUGCAGGUCUGACCAGGAGUCUGUUCUUCGAAACACUUCCAAAAAGAGGAAAAGGCAGAAGACAGGGGAAGGAAGAGGGAAGCUGAGGCAAUAUUUGGACACAAGUCGGACCCACGUCUCUGCCCCCUGGUCCUGUAUGACUGGUGUCCCGGGCUCUCAAGCUCAGUCAUCCCGUGGCCUCCCCAUCACUGUUCUCUACUCAUUAUUUUUCGUUAAAUUGACUCACCUAAUAAGAAAACCAGCCAUUGUACAAGCACAGUUCACAACGGCGGAAACAACGCAAGCGUCCGCCCACUGACGGAUGGAUAAGAAAGGCAGAGCCUCACCGUGGAAUACGACACAGCCGUGAGGAGGAGCGAAGCGCUGGCAGAGGGACCUUUGGGCCAGACACCUCCACCGAAGGCAAGGAGGCACCCCGCACGGUCUAGGCAAUGGGCCUGGCCACGGAGAGGUCACACCCCCUGCAGCCCCUGAUGGGAGCAGUCUGUGUCGGAGCAGGGCCUGGCCUGCCCGGAGCCCCUACCUGGCGGCCGCGGCACACGAGGUAAAAACCGCCACCCUCCUCAGGCUCCGUUUCCAAGCAAAGGUCUGUUUAUACUGGAUUCAUUUGCCGGCAUUUUCCGCCAGGCCAAGUUCACCCACAGCCGUGCGGACGGGGAGGGCUGGCGUCCCUGAAUCCGAGGCCCCGUUCUGAUAAAGAAGUUACGUAGGAGCAGGAGACCCUGGAUGUUCUCUGUCACAACAUUACAAAUCUUCACGUCUCCUCGUGGGGACCAUGGGAACACUUGUGACGGCUGCCACCCUCAGCGGCGGUGCCCCGUGUCCCAGUCUGUUCUGUGACUGUCCCUCCAAGCGCCUUGCUGCAUCCUGGCUUUUGCUUUUAACUUUAAAUUAAAAAAAAUUUUUUU